GACGAACGUUGGCGGCGUGCUUAAUACAUGCAAGUCAACUGAAGCAGUGGUAGCAAUAUCGCUGUGGAGGUGGCGCACGGGUGAGUAACUCGUAGGUAAUCUGCCUUCAGGUCUGGCAUAACUCCGGGAAACCGGGGCUAAUAGCAGAUGAUGCAGCGGCUCGACAUCGAGACAGUUGUUAAAGCUAUGGCGCCUGAAGAUGAGCCUGCGUCUGAUUAGCUAGUUGGCGGGGUAACGGCCCACCAAGGCAACGAUCAGUAGCUGGUCUGAGAGGAUGAUCAGCCACACUGGAACUGAGACACGGUCCAGACUCCUACGGGAGGCAGCAGUAAGGAAUAUUGCUCAAUGGGAGAAAUCCUGAAGCAGCAACGCCGCGUGAGGGACGAAGGGCUUUUGCUUGUAAACCUCUGUAGUGAGAGAAAAAAAUCCCAAUCUUUGGGACAUGAUGGUAUCUCAAAAGUAAGCCCCGGCUAACUACGUG
rnacentral:rRNA from 1 species